rnacentral:rRNA from 1 species
AACGCGAAGAACCUUACCUACACUUGACAUGUCUGGAAUCCUGAAGAGAUUUGGGAGUGCCCGAAAGGGAAUCAGAACACAGGUGCUGCAUGGCUGUCGUCAGCUCGUGUCGUGAGAUGUUGGGUUAAGUCCCGCAACGAGCGCAACCCUUGUCAUUAGUUGCUACGCAAGAGCACUCUAAUGAGACUGCCGGUGACAAACCGGAGGAAGGUGGGGAUGACGUCAAGUCCUCAUGGCCCUUAUGUGUAGGGCUUCACACGUCAUACAAUGGUCGGUACAGAGGGUUGCCAACCCGUGAGGGGGCGCUAAUCCCAGAAAGCCGAUCGUAGUCCGGAUCACAGUCUGCAACUCGACUGCGUGAAGUCGGAAUCGCUAGUAAUCGCGGAUCAGCAUGUCGCGGUGAAUACGUUCCCGGGUCUUGUACACACCG